rnacentral:rRNA from 1 species
GAUGAACGCUGGCGGCGUGCCUAAUACAUGCAAGUCGAGCGGACGGACGAGAAGCUUGCUUCUCUGAUGUUAGCGGCGCACGGGUGAGUAACACGUGUAUACCCUACCUAUAAGACUGGUAUAACUUCGGGAAACCGGCGCUAAUACCGUAUAAGCUUUUGAACCGCAUGGUUCAAAAGUGAAAUACGGUCUUGCGGUCACUUAUAGAGGGAUCCGCGCUGCAUUAGCUAGUUGGUAAGGUAACGGCUUACCAAGGGUACGAUGCAUAGCCGACGGCAGAGGGUGGUAGGCCGCCUGGGAGCGGGACCGGGGACCUGGGGCCUACGGGAGGCAGCAGUAGGGAACGGGACGCAGUGGGCGAGAGCAUGGCGGAGCGAGCGGACGCGAGUGGCGGCAGUGCUCGGUUCGGGAUAAUGUCUUACGAGGGAAAAACAGAUGUGUAAGUAGCUGUGGAGUGAGUGACGGUACCUGGUAAGGAAGCCACGGCUAACUACGUG